UUGGGAAUAUUGGACAAUGGGGGAAACCCUGAUCCAGUGACGCCGCGUGAAGGAAGAAGGUCUUCGGAUUGUAAACUUAUUUUGUCAGGGAAGAAAAAAAUGACUGUACCUGAAGAAGAAGGACCGGCUAACUACGUGCCAGCAGCCGCGGUAAUACGUAGGGUCCAAGCGUUAUCCGGAUUUACUGGGUGUAAAGGGCGAGUAGACGGCGUGGUAAGUCAGAUGUGAAAUCUUAGAGCUCAACUUUAAGACUGCAUCUGAAACUGUCAUGCUAGAGUGCAGAAGAGGUAAGUGGAAUUCCUAGUGUAGCGGUGAAAUGCGUAGAUAUUAGGAGGAACACCAGUGGCGAAGGCGACUUACUGGGCUGUAACUGACGUUGAGGCGCGAAAGUGUGGGGAGC
rnacentral:rRNA from 1 species